AGAGCCUCAAAGAGCACCCAGCAUAACUGUGGGAGAAUAGUAAGCAUUGGACACAAAAUGUUGAAAACAUUCAAGUACGGAAUAAACUAUUACUGCGAAUACGCUCAUAUGACACAAGAACAAUCUCUGAGCUUCUUUGAGGAUGUCCAGAUGACUGCUGACUGCACUAAUUGCAUCAAUCGUGUAUCCAUACAGGUUCUUUCUAUAAAAUAGUGGUCGCUAGUUAUGAGGCGUUAAGCCUUCAUGGAUAUAAACAGACUAUUCCACCUAAGUGAUCUGGCAGAAGCUUAGUUUUCUACCACAACAUCCACCGUCCUCCCUCCCUCCCUUCCUAGCUGGUCAGAAAAGCUACUCAGAAUAAAGACUACAUUUCCCAGCCAUCUUUGCAGCUAGGUUUAUCCACCUGACUAAAUUCCACCGGCCUGCCACAAGAAUACGAAGGCCAGAGCUCCAGCAGCUGUUGGAGCCACGAUGUGACCCUGAAGGCAGGAAACUCAGCUUUGGAAGGUAGAGAGCCUGGGCAGGACCUUGCUCUGUCACCCAGGCUGUAGUGCAAUGGUGUGAUCUCAGCUUACUGCAGCCUCAACCUCCUGGGCUCAAGUGAUCCUACCACAGCUUCCUGAGUAGCUGGGACUACAGUAACUCCAGGUUGAAGAACUUCUACUUAUAGGCAUCUAUUCAACGAAGACGAAUCCUGGAAUGGGGAUGGAAAUGAUGGCUCAUGUCUUAGCAAACUACCAGUACGUCUACUAGAACCGGAACUGAUCCGAGAGGACAGGGAAGUCAGUGUGGGCGGCUCUAAGGAGCCUCCCUCUCUACAGCUGCGGCUCAGAGGAUUACGGCGCUUCAUCCACAAGGCAACAUUGCACAAGUAGCUUUUGAACAAAAGUCAUGGAUACUAUUAAUGAUAUGUUCCCACACACAUUUAGUGUCGUCUCAAAAUUCACGCUGUCAACUGUCUCUAGGAAUCAUUUCCAUCUGAGAACAGACCACACAAAGACACAGUGAAACUCAGUUUCUGCAGAAUUUGAUUUCAUUUGAGUUACUGGGGAACAAAGCAAUUAGACAAUGAAUAAUAGCUCAAGACAGGCUGAAGCUGAAGAUUUCUGCAAAAGAAUGAAGAGGAAACGUUUUGAUCCUGAGCAGAUGUUCUCCCUAGAUUGCUUCACCUGAGGUUGAUUGACUUUUGGAAACGAGAUUUGUUCCCAGUGCUUUGUGAGUCUCUUGUUGGAAGGACUGUCUUUAAAUUAAAGCAAUUAGAGUUACUUUAUAAGAUUUACCCAAAUAUAAGAGCUGAAGAGAAUAAUUCAAAUUGAUCAGAAGAAAAUACUCAAUUACUGACAAAUGUCAAUUACAUCAAUAGCCUAGGCUGCUCUUGAACUCCUGGGCUCAAACGAUCCUCCCCUGUCGGCCUCCCAAAGUGCUGGGAUUACAAGCUUGAACCACCAUGCCCAGCCUCAGAAAUUUUUUAAAUGACAGCUCAUACAGUUUUCUUUUAUAAAGGAGGAGAAAAUGUGUAAUUGUAAGCAGCUGAACUAAAAUAUCUCUGUGACAUUUUGCUGGUGACUCCAGCCCUGUGAGAUCUGAGUGGCUCAGGAAUCAAAUUCUCCCACAAACCUGAGGAAGCCUUUUAUUCUUAAUGCCAACAGGAUGCCCCAUGCCCAGAAUGUCAAAUCUGAACACCAAUGGAAUGCAUUUUAUAAACAAAUUGAAAAAGGACAAUCUUUAACAGAAUUGUUGUUCUCUAGGCAGAUUAGUUGUGCUUCAAAUACAAAAUGAAAUAUUAGAGAACAAAAUUAUUUUUAAACAGCUAAUACUAGUAGAAAAUAAAAGGCUGAAAAGUGC
rnacentral:lncRNA from 1 species